rnacentral:rRNA from 1 species
CCUACGGGAGGCAGCAGUGAGGAAUAUUGGUCAAUGGCCGGAAGGCUGAACCAGCCAAGCCGCGUGAAGGACGAAGGUGCCAAGCAUUGUAAACUUCUUUUGUCAAGGGACAAAAUCAGGCUCGAGAGCCUGACCGAGGGUACUUGAAGAAAAAGCAUAGGCUAACUCCGUGCCAGCCGCCGCGGUAAAUCGGAGGAUGCGAGCGUUAACCGGAUUUAUUGGGGUUAAAGGGUGCGUAGGGGGGCGGUUAAAGCAGCGGUAAAAGCCCGGGGCUCAACCCCGGCGAGCCGUUGAAACUGGCUGUCUUGAGAUGUCGAGAGGUAUGCGGAAUGCGCAGUGUAGCGGUGAAAUGCUUAGAUAUUGCGCAGAACUCCGAUUGCGAAGGCAGCAUACCGGCGGCGAUCUGACGCUGAGGCACGAAAGCGUGGGUAUCGAACAGGAUUAGAUACCCCAGUAGUC